rnacentral:rRNA from 1 species
AGAGUUUGAUCCUGGCUCAGGAUGAACGCUGGCGGCGUGCUUAACACAUGCAAGUCGAACGGACUCGUAUUGAAACCUAGUGAUAUAUGAGUUAGUGGCGGACGGGUGAGUAACGCGUGGAUAACCUGCCGUAUACAGGGGGAUAACACUUAGAAAUAGGUGCUAAUACCGCAUAAGCGCACAGCUUUGCAUGAAGCAGUGUGAAAAGCAAAAAGUUAAACUUUUAGCGGUAUACGAUGGAUCCGCGUCUGAUUAGCCAGUUGGCGGGGUAACGGCCCACCAAAGCGACGAUCAGUAGCCGGCCUGAGAGGGCGGACGGCCACAUUGGGACUGAGACACGGCCCAGACUCCUACGGGAGGCAGCAGUGGGGAAUAUUGCACAAUGGGGGAAACCCUGAUGCAUCGACGCCGCGUGAGUGAAGAAGUAAUUCGUUACGUAAAGCUCUAUCAGCAGGGAAGAAAAUGACGGUACCUGAGUAAGAAGCCCCGGCUAACUACGUG